CAGUCGUACCUAUGGGUAAUCAGCCUUUUGGGUGUUGAUUUUGUGGAGCGUGAGGAGUUAAACGCCUUCAUGCCUGCCAUAUUCGUGCACUUUGGGUGUACUUGCCCGUAUGGUUGGUUAACAUCAAUUUUGGGGUCAUAAAAUGACUGGAGAACGCAGCAUGCCUUUANGGCCGGGGUUCGCCCACGUACAUGCUUAGGAU
rnacentral:rRNA from 1 species